rnacentral:rRNA from 1 species
AGAGUUUGAUCCUGGCUCAGGACGAACGCUGGCGGUGUGCUUCACACAUGCAAGUCGAGCGGAUGAAGUAGGUAGCUUGCUACUUAUGGAUUUAGCGGCGGACGGGUGAGUAAUAUAUAGGAAUCUGCCCUAGAGCGGGGAACAACAGACCGAAAGGUUUGCUAAUGCCCCAUAGGUAUGCAGUCUUCGGAUUGUUUAUUAAAGGAGUAAUUCACUCUAGGAUGAGCCUGUAUCCGAUUAGCUUGUUGGCGGGGUAAUGGCCCACCAAGGCUACGAUCGGUAGUUGGUCUGAGAGGAUGAUCAGCCACAAUGGGACUGAGACACGGCCCAUACUCCUACGGGAGGCAGCAGUGGGGAAUUUUACACAAUGGGGGAAACCCUGAUGUAGCGACACCGCGUGAACGAAGAAGCCUUUUGGGGUGUAAAGUUCUGUCGGCUGGAACGAAAAGAAUGACGGUACCAGCAAAGGAAGCAUCGGCUAACUACGUGCCAGCAGCCGCGGUAAGACGUAGGAUGCAAGCGUUGUCCGGAUUUAUUGGGCGUAAAGAGUUCGUAGGCGGUUAUUUAAGUCUGGUGUUAAAUACUGUGGCCCAACCACAGAGCUGCAUUGGAUACUGGAUGACUUGAGUGCGGUAGAGGCGAGUGGAAUCCCCAGUGUAGCGGUGAAAUGCGUAGAUAUUGGGAAGAACACCAGUGGCGUAAGCGACUCGCUGGCCCGUAACUGACGCUGAGGAACGAAAGCCAGGGGAGCGAAUGGGAUUAGAUACCCUGGUAGUCCAA